ACCUAUUUUUUUCCCCAAAUUUUGGGGAAAUAAGGUUCCUGGAAGUAGAUACCUUAUUAAAGAAAUCUGUCAUGUGAAGUAAUGCUGUCUGAACUGUAUCACACAACAGCCACACAUUUGCUUCAUCAGUGCUGUACUGUAUUAAAAGGAUAAGUUUUGAUGGUGGAAUUUGACCCUUGUUUUUGUACCCUAU